CCAACAGUCCUUUUCAGGACUAUUCACACACUCUCAAGAAAGAAAG
rfam:Strongylocentrotus purpuratus Contig29949_fixed, whole genome shotgun sequence.